GCCGGGCGCGGUGGCUCACGCCUGUAAUCCUAGCACUUCGGGAGGCCGAGGUGGGUGGAUCACCUGAGGUCAGGAGUUCCAGACCAGCCUGGCCAACAUGGUGAAACCCCAUCUUUA
ensembl:misc_RNA Metazoa_SRP Metazoan signal recognition particle RNA